ACAGCGUGAUCUUUCCACACUUCCCAGCGUUGAGUUCAUCAAACUGGUUGCAGAUUAACAUGAUGUCCUUCUCUGAGAUCUUCCCCAUCUCCUUGAGCUUGUAGAUCACAAACUCUGAUUUGCUACAGAAUGUAAUGAGGUCUGCUGCCAUCAGAUCUCCCGCGGUCAUCUUCCUCUUGAGCACCCACUCUGCAGUCCUUCGAUUCCUUUUCUCGAUCCUGAGCUCGGUCAGAUACAAGAACGCCUUGGCGACAGCGAGAGUGCUCACCAGCAGCCACACUGAUGCAAACAGCCUCCCCUUCAUCGUCAAGAAGGUGUAGUCCCCGUACCCCACUGUCGUCACGGAGGUCACCGAGAGAUAGAAGCUGUCGAGCCAAGCCAGCCCCUCCAGGACGUGCACCAUCACAGUCCCCACCGCAACACAGCAGAUAACGACACACAGUGCCAACCCCACCUUCAUCCGCACCCUCAUCCGCCCCUUCCUCAUGUCCAUCACAUACGUCCUGAAGAUCACGUUGCGACGGCUCUCGUCUACGGCGCUGAGCAGCACUGCCUCCUGCUUGUCGAGCACGUAGGUCAGCAACCCAUUGAGGAGGACAUCCACGAAGCCGAAGCCCACCAGAAUGAACGCACAGGUAAAGAGCUUGGUGAAGCUGGUGUGAGGCACUAUGUCGCCAUACCCGAUUGUGCACAUGCUCACGAUGGCGAAGUAUAGCCCGUCGACCAGUGGAAACGUUCUGUGCCCCUUGAAGCUCCCUUGCCUCACCAUGAAGACGAUGAUCCCUACCGAGAUGUACAGGAUUGCUCCAACUAUGGCUUGCCGCACAAUCCAUGGUGAACGCGUGGUCGGAGAAUCUGCAGGUUCGGCAUCGAGUGCCAGGGCUUGACUUUCCUUGAUGCAGGUGAAUAUGGAUGGGGCAGAGUAGGACCGGCGAGAGGCUUUAGUGGAAUGCUCAUUGGGCUCCUUGAUCACUGGUGUGUCAAGGAGUGGAACAGCAAGAGUGGGUAAGGUUCUGCAGCAUGGAAAACUGGUGAGAUAGCUGAAGUGAUGAGAUGAGUUGCUGUUGCGAUGAUCUGAGAGCUCAUGAGAGCAAUUCUGUAUGGAUUCCGGUGUCUUGGUUGACAAAAGCUUGUCCAUGGACAUGAAGCAGUGCAGGAAUUCGUGAUCUGAAACUUAGAGCACUACUCAGGUAUGUUGGAAGUUGUUGGGUUGACUAUUUGGUUGGAGUACUGGUAGUUAAUCCAACCUGUCUGUCAUCGUGGAAUAGAAGUUAGAUUAGCUUCUGAACACCCAAGAAUUAAAAGGCUAGUAAGUUAUGUUUCUGAGUAUUUAGCUCACAAUUUCUAAGCUUAGACUGUGUAUAUAUAUAUAUAUACAAAGGAUUAACAUCUGUUGCUUCUUUCAGAUUCCUGCACUAAAUCUUCAGGGAAAUUAGACCUGCAAAAAGGGAAUUCUCCAGCUGCAGUUCUUCCAUAUUGACCAGCACAAAGUACAUUACUCUGGUUCAUAGGUGCCAACAAUAACUCAGAUCAGAAGCUCUCCAUUCCUCUGGUUCCGAUGAAAGGAUCCAUGGAGGAACAUAAAAUGAAGUAAUUGUGUCAUUUAUGGUGAUCCCUGCAUUUUAAUGGUCUGAGCUCUCCAGAAAACUGGUAGAGACUACAGUGAAUUUUGCCUUCAAAUACUGCAUUACUAUAUUUUGCCAUUUUACCCAAUAUUUCCUUUUUUGUGUGGUAAAUUUCUACCAAGAGAAUUAGUUUGUAGAUUUUAUUAAUGUAGCCAUGACUACAAUAAAGGUAUUACAGAUCAUUAUACAUUAGAUUUGGUUAAUGGAAAUGAGCGUCUGAAAGUC